rnacentral:misc_RNA from 1 species
GAGGGUGUCCAUCCACUGCCUCGGAUGCAAGAAGAAGGUCAGGAAGGUGCUCAGGAGCAUCGAAGGCGUGAAGGAUGUGAAGGUGGACGCCGCGAUGCACAAGGUGACGGUGACCGGCACGGUGGACGGCGACACGCUCGUCAAGAGGCUGUACAAGUCCGGGAAGCAGGCCGUGCCGUGGCAGCACCCGCACGUGGCGCCGGCGCCGGAGGCGGUCAAGGCGAUAG